UGGGGAAUUUUGGACAAUGGGCGCAAGCCUGAUCCAGCCAUUCCGCGUGCAGGAUGAAGGCCCUCGGGUUGUAAACUGCUUUUGUACGGAACGAAAAAGCUCUUUCUAAUACAGAGAGUCCAUGACGGUACCGUAAGAAUAAGCACCGGCUAACUACGUGCCAGCAGCCGCGGUAAUACGUAGGGUGCAAGCGUUAAUCGGAAUUACUGGGCGUAAAGCGUGCGCAGGCGGUGAUGUAAGACAGUUGUGAAAUCCCCGGGCUCAACCUGGGAACUGCAUCUGUGACUGCAUCGCUGGAGUGCGGCAGAGGGGGAUGGAAUUCCGCGUGUAGCAGUGAAAUGCGUAGAUAUGCGGAGGAACACCGAUGGCGAAGGCAAUCCCCUGGGCCUGCACUGACGCUCAUGCACGAAAGCGUGGGGAGCAAACAG
rnacentral:rRNA from 1 species